ACACCCUGGGUUGUUGUGAACAGAAUGAGUCUGUUUGAUGAACAGUUACCAGGUGACAUGGGGUCACACCCUGGGUUGUUGUGAACAGAAUGAGUCUGUUUGAUGAACAGUUACCAGGUGACAUGGGGUCACACCCUGGGUUGUUGUGAACAGAAUGAGUCUGUUUGAUGAACAGUUACCAGGUGACAUGGGGUCACACCCUGGGUUGUUGUGAACAGAAUGAGUCUGUUUGAUGAACAGUUACCAGGUGACAUGGGGUCACACCCUGGGUUGUUGUGAACAGAAUGAGUCUGUUUGAUGAACAGUUACCAGGUGACAUGGGGUCACACCCUGGGUUGUUGUGAACAGAAUGAGUCUGUUUGAUGAACAGUUACCAGGUGACAUGGGGUCACACCCUGGGUUGUUGUGAACAGAAUGAGUCUGUUUGAUGAACAGUUACCAGGUGACAUGGGGUCAGACCCUGGGUUGUUGUGAACAGAAUGAGUCUGUUUGAUGAACAGUUACCAGGUGACAUGGGGUCACACCCUGGGUUGUUGUGAACAGAAUGAGUCUGUUUGAUGAACAGUUACCAGGUGACAUGGGGUCAGACCCUGGGUUGUUGUGAACAGAAUGAGUCUGUUUGAUGUGCAGUUACCAGGUGACAUGGGGUCACACCCUGGGUUGUUGUGAACAGAAUGAGUCUGUUUGAUGAACAGUUACCAGGUGACAUGGGGUCAGACCCUGGGUGGUUGUGAACAGAAUGAGUCUGUUUGAUGAACAGUUACCAGGUGACAUGGGGUCAGACCCUGGGUUGUUGUGAACAGAAUGAGUCUGUUUGAUGAACAGUUACCAGGUGACAUGGGGUCACACCCUGGGUUGUUGUGAACAGAAUGAGUCUGUUUGAUGUGCAGUUACCAGGUGACAUGGGGUCACACCCUGGGUUGUUGUGAACAGAAUGAGUCUGUUUGAUGUCCAGUUACCAGGUGACAUGG